ensembl:lncRNA
AAGAUCUCUACAGUGGUGCUGUAUGGUUAUCUCUUGUUAGACUCCUUUUGGCUCUUUCGUUGUUCUAGUCUGGAUUUUUGUGGAGCUUUUUUGCUGGUUUACUGCUCUCAGCUGUCCUUGGCUGUAGAGGUGUAGGGGUUGAGGAGGAGUAGUUCUGCCUGUGGGGUAGAGCAGGCCAGCCAGUCACAUCACAAAUCUCAGGACGCUGGGCUCUGCUCUGUUAGUCGUCCUCCCACAUCCUGAGCGUAUGAUUUACUUUGCACCGAGAGUGUUUCAGGGAGGACUACCAUUCAAAUAAUGGUCUACUUGAAAACCAUCAUCAAUGUUAUUAAUUCAGCCCAUUCUUAUUUCCAGGUGCUCAUGCACUUGGUUCGUCAAACUUUUUUUUACAAGGUUACAAAUUCAUGAGGCUUUGUCAUCGUGCUACACGUUUGUACCAUUAGAAAAAAACUGACUAUAUAUCAUAUAGAGAGGGUGGAAGAUGAAUUAAUAAAUCUCAAAACGUGAGAAAAAAAGCUGUUUUUCAGUCUGAUACUUGUGCAUCUCUUUACAGACGGCUGCAGUGUGAACAGGUUGUGUCUGUGUGUGUUUUGUCUUAUAAUAUCCCUUCAUAUCUUCUCAGGCUUCUCGACAACAUCACUAAUGGUCAACAGAUGGGUCCACAGCUAAAAAUGUUUAGAUCGUGGUUCGAUGUGGACCCUGGUCCUGCCUCUCAGGGACACUGUUCUAUUUGCGUGGCGCUGCUGAACAAAAGGCCUGGUCACCCAUGGUGUGGAGAUGAGUGUUGGGGACCUAGAGGAGCAAGCUGGUUGCAGAUCUGAGGGUGCGGGUGAAGGUUGGAAAGUAAGUAGUUCUUGCAAAUAGAGAGGUGCAUGCCCAUUUACUCAUUUAUAGGUGAAUAGUAGAGCUUUGUAGUCAAUGCUGAAUGAGACAGGGAGCCAGUAUAGUGAGUGUAGGAUGAGUGUUAUGUUCUCAUAUAUCCGGACUCUCAUCGGGAUUCUGGCAUCCCCUAACUGAUGGCGGUUAUAUCUGAUGGCGGUUAUAUCUGAUGGUGGUUAUAUCUGAUGGGGUUACAUCUGAUGGUGCUUAAAUCUGAUGGUUGUUACAUCUGAUGGUGGUUAUAUCUGAUAAGGGUUACGUGGUGGUUAUAUCUGAUCGAUGUUAUAUCUGAAGGUGGUUGUUCCUCCAGUGGUCCAGUCUUACCCCUGGGUUACAUCUGAUGGUUGUUACAUCUGAUGGUGGUUAUAUCUGACCGGUGUAAUAUAUGAUGGUGGUUGUUCCUCUAGUGGUCCAGUCUUACCCCAGGCUUACUACUGUCAAUAUUUGAAUAAUUUCUGUUGCAAAAAUUGAAUGUACUUAUCUUUUAUGUUGUUAUUCUGACAUGACAUUAUUAUGACAUCGAUUGCAUUCUCUUCUGGGAGAGCGAUCCUCCUAUGCCCUUCUCCCUAAGUUGUUUUCCAUUUUUCUCCCUGUUGAAGAGUUUUUUUCAUUUUUGGAGCAGUUUUUCCUGUGCCGAUGUGAGGGACAGGGAAUGGAGCUGGGAAGGGCCCGACUCUCACCGCCGCCUGCAGGAGAACCAAUACCCUCUUAACCUCUAGUCCAUGCCCAGCUGUUUUGUCUAGGGAAGAGCCCCACUGUGGCUGCGGCAAGGUCUCAAUAGACUUCGUCGUUGUUCUACACCUCAGAGGUAUCCUUUCUGGGAUUCAUUGUCUAUUUCUAUUGGCGGUUCAUCCGCAACAACAGUUCUGUGGCUGCCCCCCUCACCUCUCUCACAUCCCAAAACGUGCCCUUUCAGUGGACAUCUGUGACAGAAAGGUAAUUUGGUGAUUUAAAGUCAUGAUUCACUACUACUCCCAUGCGUGUUUUCCCAGACCCUGCUUGCCAGUUUGUGAAGAUGUAGUCACCUCGACCUCCUCAGUCACCUUGACUACAUCUCCACCAGAAACUGCUCUACCGCUAACCUCACUGUAACUCCGCUUCACUUCUCUGACCACUUCUUUAUCUCCUACUCUUUCGCUCUCUAUAACUAACGACCCUACCCCAUCAGCUAACUCUGUACCUGUUCGUUUUAACAUUCGCUCCCUCUCUCCCUCCUCUCUGGCCUCCUCUGUUCUAUCAGCUCUCCCUUUAACUGACUCUUUCUCCCUCUUACAUCCAAACGCGGCCGCAAAGACUCUCCGCUCAACUCUGUUCUCCUCUCUCGACUCUCUCUGUCCUCUUACGAUACGACGGGCCGGCAAAUCCCCUCUGGCUCUGUGGCUGUCGGAACCAAUGAGUGCCGUGAGAGCCACUAUGCGAGCAUCGGAAAGGAAAUAGCGUAAAUAUAGAUGACUUGUUUGCGUUUUAAUCUCUUCUCUCCUCUUUUUCUGUUACUUUCUCUGCUGCCAAAAGAUCAUUCUACCAAUCUAGAAUCGAGUCCUCAUUUUGUAACCCCAAAAAACUCUUUCCUAUCUUCCCCAACCUCCUUAAACCCCUCAAUUCCCCUCCACCCUUCUUUUGGGAGACUUUGGGAGACAACUAAACAACCAAAACCAUAGCUGAGGCAAGAGUUGACCCACCCUCAACCCAUCUGAAGAAAACAACUACAGACCGGUCUUGCUUCUUCCCUUUUUGUCCAAAACUCUUGAUCGUGCUUUCUUUAACUAACUCCUCUUAUCUCCACCACAACAACCUCAUUGACCCCCACCAGUCAGGCUUCAAGGCAGGCCACUCCACAGAGACUGCUCUCCUUGCUGUCUCAGAGCAACUCCACACUGCUAGAGCUGCCUCUCUCUCCUAUGUCCUCAUUCUUCUGAACCUUUCUGCUGCAUUUGACACCAUAAACCACCAGAUCCUUAUUUCCUCCCUUCAGGAACUUGGUGUCUCAGGCUCUGCUCUCUCCCUUCUCUUGUCCUACCUUGACGGCCGCACGUAAUGGGUAACUUGGCGAAGAUCUGUGUCGGAACUCUUACUACUGGAGUUUCUCAAGGUUGCGUCCUGGGCUCCUUCCUGUUCGCUCUCUACACCAACUCUCUCGGCUCUGUCAUUUGCUCGCAUGGCUUCUCCUACCACAGCUAUGCCGAUGACACCCAACUAAUCCUCCUCCCUCACUCGGACACCCAGGCGGCGGCAUGGAUCUCUGCCUGACAUCUCUCAGUGGAUGUCCGCUCACCAUUUGAAAAUCAACCCAGACAAAACCAAAUUACUUCUCUUUCCGGGGAAAGACUCUCCUACCCAGGACCUGACAGUUAACUUUGGCAACUCCGUGUUAACACCGACUUUUGGAACCUCGGCGUAACACUUGUAAGAUUGUGCAGAUGUCCUGUCAAAUACAAAAGCCAGCCCCCGUCCCUCAGUCCCAAGCCCUCCUCUUAUUCGCUGAUCCCGGUCAGGUGAAUCUAAUAAACCAAGAAUGUUAUUUCAAAUAUGUACCAAAAAUACAUCAAAUACAAAUAAAUGAUUUGUAACAAAACAGAAAACAUGGCUCCAACACCCUGACUCCCAACAUUACAGCGACAAUACGAUCCUGUAGAUACACGCUCUACAACAUCAGGAGAAUACGACCCCUUCUCACUCAGAAGCCUGCGCAGGUACUGAUUCAGGCUCUUGUCAUCUCCCUCCUUGACUAUUAUAACUCUCUCCUGGCAGGUGUCCCUGCAGCCGCCAUUCGACCUCUGCAGCUCAUCCAAAAUGCAGCAGCUAGACUGGUCUUUAACCUUCCUAAAUUCUCCCACACUACUACACUCCUCUGCUCUCAUAGGUGAUAAACAUAGGUGCUCACGUACCAUGCUGUGAAUGGAUUGGGUUCAAAUGGAUGGGGUCCAGUCUACAUCCCAACCCGCACACUGCGCUCUGCAUCUCCCAAACUGCUUGUUCCUCCCUUACCGAGACUCUCGACAAGAUCACGACUGUCCUUGCUCCGAAAUUGUGGAAUGAGCUCUCUGAAGACAUCAGGACCGCAGAGAGCCUUUACAUCUUCGGCCGCAAAUUAAGACGCACCUCUUCACACUAUACCUUGACUAAAAACACUAACAAAUUGUAGCACUUAAAUUGUACUUUAAUACGGGCUCUUAUCAAUAGCAUGUUGUUGUAAAUGUGUUCUUUUGAGUUUGUAUCCAGUUAAAAUGCACUCAUUGUGCUUUUGACCAAAGCGUCAGCUAAAUCACAUAUAAUGUAACGUAUCUGUUGUUGCAAAGUGGUUGCUGCUGCAGGAGUUGGGCGAGAGAGACGCUAAUUGCUAAUGCUAAUCACAUGCUUGUUAAGCGUCCGCUAAUCCGAGGCUAUGAAUGCUGCGGAUAUGGCUAAAGUGCACCUAUAGUUAGCUGUAUACAGUUACCAUGCAGUAUUAACACUGCACUGAUGUUUUCUGUUUUCUUGUAGAACCACACAAACACACACACACACACACAUCCACACCUGCAAUAAUAUUGGAAUCACAUUUGCCUCAGCAUUCCUAAAAAUCAUUUGAGUGACCACUGACCUGUUCCUGAACAUGACGUCAGAACGCACAGCCUGAGUUCAUCCUGACCAUUCAUGAGUUCAACGGAGGUGUUACUCAUUGCCUCGUCUCUCCAGGCAACAUUCUUCUAAUGCAAAAUGGUUAAGUCUUUGUGUUUGUGAUUAUUAAACUGUUUACUAACUGCUAACUAACAGCACGGCCAGUAACGUUAAUCCAUCCAUCCAUCCAUUGUCAAACCGCUUAUCCUGCACACAGUGUCGCGGUGGGGCUGGAGUCCAUCCCAGCCAACUUCGGUCGAUAGACGGGGUACAUCCUGGAUUGGUCGCCAGCCAAUCGCAGGGCUACACAGAGACAUACAACCAGACACUGGUGGUGGUAGAGAAUAAGUUGCUCAAACAGAACAGCUUUUAACAUUAAACAGCACUGGCGCGAUUGGUUUACGGAAAUGGUGCCUCCGCCCCUUCUCCAGUCUUCCCGACUUACUGUCGUGAUCUUUUACCGUAAAUUCGACUGACUUUUUUUUUUCUUCUUUACAGUGUAGCCAACCAGACGCCUAUUUCCUUAAAAACCAAUCGCAUCAGUGCUUUCAAACUUUUCAACUGUGCUCUCUUUUGCUGGUGAUCAUUUCAGUGCACAUCCGAUGCAACCCUCAUCCAACCAGGAUAUCUCCAAAAAGCAGUCAUGAAGUGACUAUGGCUUUCCUUCUUCCUCGAUUACUGUAUGAAGAAAACACAAACACAACUUUUCAGAUCCUAGAUUAAGCCCAAUAACUCAAAGUUGCUCCAACCAGCUCUUAUCCCCAGCUCUGCUGUCAACACCUUCAGGAUGCGGGUGACACAUCAGUUCACUGGAACCACAGACAGGCGCCAAGGGGGAGUCUAAUCUGCUCACACAUCUCUCUCAUUCUCUGCUUUGGUCCAUCCCAGUCUCUGUGUCUUUCUCCGUGCCUUUCUCUGGAGGCUCUCUCUCACACCAGCUUACACUUACACCUGCAAUGAGGUGAGACUAUCCAACCCAGAAUCUUUGCAGAGGCAGAUACAGAGAUGAGACUAGCUAGGAGAGAAGCCUUCUCUGUUCCAUCUAUAGCCAGUUUCUCUGUGAUGUUCACGGUUCGUUGCUGUUUCUGCUUGAACAUGUGUGUUUAAAGUUGUGAUUGUGUGUUUGAUGUCAGUUGUGCUGCUAACGAACAACGUACCCUUUUGACAUGAUACAAGUACAUCUAGGCAGAUUAAGCUACUCUUCAGGAUGUAGACCUCAUAUUUUGUUAAUACGAGAGGUGGCAUAACCGUUGUGUAUGAAAUGUUCUCUACGUAUCUUUGUCUUUCUGCCCGCUCCUUCAUGUUUUAGCACAAACCCCGAUGCAGGAGCAGCGGUAGACUUACAUGGAGGUAAGAUUUGAAACUCCGUACACAUAGUGCGAGCUAGAUAUUUUCAGCGUUUCCUGUGGCAUGUCGAACAACUCCUUUCUACCUGCCCAGCUUAAUUCGUCACCGCUCAUCCUCCUGACGUGUGUGCAUAACACCGCUGCGUCGCCGCACGUACGACGACGCACCAAUUCAAGAUGAAAUAGUCCCCUCCCUGCUUUGUUUUCUCCCGUGCAUUUUCCUUAAAACCCAAAGUCAUCCUUGACAUUCUGAACUUAAAUAAAUUGUUUGAAUCCAAGUUUGAGUUGAAUCUAUUCAACAACAUUAAUAUAUUUCUAUGCCCAUUUCACUCAAUACAUCUUGGUGAAACAAUAAACAUACAUAUCAUCGUACAUAAGUACAGCAGGUUAACAUUCAUUUCGGCAAAAUUGUAUAAAUACGUACAGGAAAAGCCGCUGUAAGGUCACGGGGGGCCCUAAUAGCCUGCUAGGGAGGCGCAGUGUAUGAGAGUUGACCAAAAAACACAAUAAAGUUGCAAAAGAAGGAAAAAUAAAAAAGUUUUUUUGUGUCGUGGCCAAGCCAAACUUAGUAUUUAGUCAGCCAAAAAACACACAAAGAACUUGAAGCUCUUAAUGAAAUCACGCAACCAGACUUAGGCCAUAUUUACACAUAGAUAGUAUUUACAGAAAAUAAUAUUUCUGCCCCUCCGUUUUCACAAAGUUUUCUGUUUAUAUGAACCUGCAUAAAUACGGCCCCGGGCGCCAUCAUAACUACGCCAAACCUGUAGUCGGCAGUGUAACGAGAAGGAUAAAGACAUGCAAACGAAUCAGAAUUCUCAAAACCAACAACAAGUCGCAUACUGUGACGUUUGACAACCUAAAACUUUGUUUGACCUAGUUCACACACAAACAGAGUUUUCAGAAAUCUCCACUUUGGCUGGAGUUUUUAGAAAUGAUUGUUUUCCGUGAUAAAACCUGUUUUUGUGUAAAUGAAAGGCCAAAACGCAUGAAAAUAUAUGCGUUUUCCCAUCGUGUAAACGGGGUCUUGGUCCUUGCCCGAGUUCCUUGGAGGAUUCAAGCCUUCCUGUUGGUUCUCUCACCAUAUUCCUCCCCUCCUUUUUCUUGUCCCACCCUUAAGUCUGGCCUUAAUCAGGUGGCCUAAACACUUAAACCUGUGAAAGUGUUGAGGCCUUCUGGGAAGUGUAGUUAGCGGCCGGUAUUUUGUAGGGGUCAGCUGUCCCUAAAAGGGAAAGUAGCACCCAUACUUCCCCGUGUGAUGCCACACUGCAUUAAAUGAGGGUGGUUUAUAUACAUUUGAACAACACAACUAAAAAUCUGCAUUAAAACUAAAUAGCAACACUAAAACUGAACUCCAGAAAAACGCAUUGUCAAAAAUACAACUAUCAAGCAUUGAACAAACAGUAACCACAUAUGAGAGUUCUAACAGUAACAACAAUUCCAUUUUUUUCCUCUAACGGUCCAUUAUCUUAAGAAAGUGUCUAGAUUCUUAGGCUGUAUGCUAUAGGAGACAGCUUUGAACGGUCCAGCUCCAGGAAAACUUUCUGGAACACCUUAAAUAUGUUCAAGUUUAAGGUCCCAAUUUAACAUCUACUAAAUUACUUCUACGUUCACAAAAGUCUUACUCUACAUUCACUAGGCUUGUAAUAUGUCAACUAAUCUCUAUAUGAUAGUAUAAGCUCAUUCCGGGAGCUCUAAAUCAUCCAAUCCAAUGCAACUAUAUUAAAGGGACUCUUGGCUGCUUUGUCAUUAAUGCAAAAUUCAUAUAAAAAAAAAAAAAAGUGCAUACAUACCCAAAGGGUGAUUAUUUACAUGAAUCUGAAUUAUUAUCACUGAAACUGCAAAACCCAGCAGCUUCUGCCACAAAUUACUGGUAGAAAUAAGAGUAUGAUUGGAUGUUGUGAUUUGACCAUUCAUGACGGGUAGAAGAGAUGUGCUUAAACACAUGAGUUGAUCCAUCGAUUCCACGUGGUAGACCCCGAAUGAUACUCUCAGGACUUUUUUUUUUACCUCAAAUAGAAUUACAAAGAAUUUGUGUGUUUUGCGUGUUUUGCGUGAAUGUUGGCUGCACGUAUUGAUAUAAACAUUAAAGAAAGUGUGUAUAUGUAUGUUGGCAUCUGUUGGCACUUUUGCUGUAUGACCGCAUGUCUAAAUAUAGUUAGCUGUUACCAGCACGUUGCUUGUGAUUAGCAGGUUGCGGCAGUCGUCAGUGAGUGCCACCUAAGAAGUGUUUUUUAUGCGGGCCACAUUUUAGCACAUUUUUCCAGAACUAGCUCCAAUGUUGCGGGACUCAUUUUGGAUGCAGGGGUGUAAAAGCUAAAUGUAACAUUCAAAUAAUAAAAAAUGGCAAUGCUUCUUUGCCAAGUAAGCACCGAAAUAAACAUCGCUCUGGAGUACAUAUAUGUCCACCCAAAAGGCACAUGCACUGGGCAGAUUCUGUGUGGGUAGCAUAGCUGUUCUAUAUGAGGUGCCUGUUAACGUUUCUCUGAAAAGAAAGAUUAGCAUCCUAAACACAGACGAUGUGCCUGAAAUGCAACCAUGUGUGGAAACGUGGACAUUCUAUUUGAGUUUAUAACCUCUCGGACUACAAAUGAACUAUACCAAAACUCCUGUUGAUGCUUCGUUAAAUACAGAAGUGCUAACUGAGGGGGCAUGGAAGGAUCAAAAGAGGUCCAGUCUGAGCAGCCCAUUACCGCCAUAAACAACCAAAGACACUCAAGUCCCCUCUUCCCCCCAAGUCAGCCCCCUUUUCGCUCUUGUUGCCCUGAUGUCCAUGUCUGUCAGCAGCUUCCCCUACACACAGACACCAGGGCACAUGAGCAGUCAAAACAGAGUUAUCUAAAAGUAAACAUCCACAUGGCAGUAUGGGAAAGACAGAGGCUGAGGAACCGGGGAGUGGAACAGCAUACAGAAGGUGAAACAAAGGAAGGAGCUUUCAUUUGGAGAGAGAAGGUGUCAGGGGAAGCCCAAAAUUAUCUCGAUCUUAAGGAGCAGGAAACAGGUAGAAACUGCAUGCAGGCAACGCUUCACCGUCCAUCAGCGCUCAUAAAGACUUUCCAGGUAAACAUCAGUUGGGAAAGAUGCAAUAGUGGAGGUGAAGUCAGUGAGGCGGAGAGAAGACACUGAACAAUCACUGCAGCUGUCUUGUGUUUUCAUCUUCAUACCCGUGAAUGACGGGGGAAACAGAUCCAGCAGGGCACCCCGAACCUUCUCUGGCCACAUCUACAGUCUGUGCACAUGAGACAUCAUCUGUCCCAAAACCCUCACACCAGCACAGGAAGAACGGAAAAAAUGUAACAGGCAGAAUAAAGAGAAAGAAACCUUCAUUGAAUGUAUUGUAAUAGUAAGUGAAAAGGGACUGGUCAGGUUAGUGAGGAAUUUCAGAUUCGGACAUCGGAUAUGUCUGGAAGCAAAAAUAAAUUUACGAGGACAACGUGGAAGGAGCUGCGUAUGAAUGUGCAGCCAAUCACAAACGACCGCUAGAAUCUAAUGGCUCUGCUGGAAAAGAGGCAGACAGAAGCCUGCUGAGAACCAUUAUUAAAGGUCAUAAUAGACUGUUCCAAGAGAUUCUCUAUUUCAUGAAAUAAUAUACUAUCAUACCUUAUUUAACUUUGUAAAUAUAUUGCUUCUGUUAGAUAUUACUUUUAUUAAAUGUUUAAACUGAUGCAAGUUGAAUCUUUUGGACUUCCCGUCCCCCAGGCCCGGGGAGAGAGCAUUUGAGGUUCAAACCCCACAAACACACACAUUUUUCAGACGAGCUGCUUUUUAUCCUUUCUCUAACCUUUGACUACACAUAGUUACUGAGACCACUACAAAAAUGUAUUUACUUCAUAUGUCCUAUCCGUGUGACAUCAGGAAGUAAGUGCUUUUUUUUUUCAGCAUCGGUCUCUUUCUUUGUAGUUUGUGUUAGCGAGUCGCUCUACGCUUGGAGAGGUCACGGCUAUUUAUCACCUGGUGAUUAAAUGGAGGAGAGUUGGAAGGUGCCGGGUCCUUAUUAGUGAAAUUUACAGUGUGCGGGAAAGGCUCCUAAGGAGGAAACUUUCAUCUGAGCAUCAUCAGAUAACAUCCACAUGACUGGACCAGUACAUCAUUGAUGCUUGAGCACUCAAACCCAUACACGAGAGAGAGAAGAAACAUGCAUUUUGUCCAUUGGGUUUAAAAGAUGUACCAAAGAUACCCUACGCAGUUGAUAGUGUGAUUUUGAUGUUUGCUUUUCCUUUCAUGGCAAAACAUUUUAAUACAUCUUAGCUUAUUUACCACCCCCUUGAAAAUCAACUCUGAUUGAGG